rnacentral:rRNA from 1 species
GACGAACGCUGGCGGCGUGCUUAACACAUGCAAGUCGAACGGAAAGGCCCUGCUUUUGUGGGGUGCUCGAGUGGCGAACGGGUGAGUAACACGUGAGUAACCUGCCCUUGACUUUGGGAUAACUUCAGGAAACUGGGGCUAAUACCGGAUAGGAGCUCCUGCUGCAUGGUGGGGGUUGGAAAGUUUCGGCGGUUGGGGAUGGACUCGCGGCUUAUCAGCUUGUUGGUGGGGUAGUGGCUUACCAAGGCUUUGACGGGUAGCCGGCCUGAGAGGGUGACCGGCAACAUUGGGACUGAGAUACGGCCCAGACUCCUACGGGAGGCAGCAGUGGGGAAUAUUGCACAAUGGGCGGAAGCCUGAUGCAGCAACGCCGCGUGCGGGAUGACGGCCUUCGGGUUGUAAACCGCUUUCGCCUGUGACGAAGCGUGAGUGACGGUAAUGGGUAAGAAGCACCGGCUAACUACGUG